rnacentral:rRNA from 1 species
UACAGAGGGUGCAAGCGUUGUUCGGAAUUAUUGGGCGUAAAGGGCGCGUAGGCGGUGCGGUAAGUCUGUAGUGAAAUCUCUGGGCUCAACUCAGAGUCUGCUGCAGAAACUGCCGUGCUUGAGUGUGGGAGAGGUGAGUGGAAUUCCCGGUGUAGCGGUGAAAUUCGUAGAUAUUGGGAAGAACACCGGUGGCGAAGGCGGCUCACUGGCUCGUAUCUGACGCUCAGGCGCGAUAGCGUGGGGAUCAAACAGG